UGUACAUACAUAUAUUUGUAUUAUGUAUAAAAAUCGCCCUUACCCCACAUAACAGAAAUAAUAUUCUCUUUUGAAUAAAUACAUAUGCAUGUAUGUACAUUUAUUAAUGCAUCUGACUAAAUUUACUAA
rnacentral:sRNA from 15 species